UACGGAGGGUGCAAGCGUUGUUCGGAAUUACUGGGCGUAAAGCGCGUGUAGGCGGGCCUAUAAGUCAGAUGUGAAAGCCCUGGGCUCAACCCAGGAAGUGCAUCUGAUACUGUAGGCCUUGAGUCCCGGAGAGGGUUGUGGAAUUCCCGGUGUAGAGGUGAAAUUCGUAGAUAUCGGGAGGAACACCAGUGGCGAAGGCGACAACCUGGACGAGGACUGACGCUGAGACGCGAAAGCGUGGGGAG
rnacentral:rRNA from 1 species